CUCACACAACCUGUAAGCAGAGAUCCCUGCAAGGAGUGGGGGUUGAGAAAAGAAUAGCAAAAAGACCUUAAAGCAACUCAGGAAAUGGAGUGGGCAGGAGAGAAAGAAAAUCAGUCAAGGAUGAUAUCAGAGAGAAAGGGGGAAAAACAUCUGGUAAGCAGAGAAAAGGUAAUCUGUGUGGGAAGUGGAGAAGGAGGUAAUGGUGGAAGAAAAGCAAAAAGAUCACUUUCAGGAUGCCGUUACUGUUUCUGUUACACACACACACACAAAAAGAGAAGCAAAGAAUAAAGGAGAUGAAAAUUGUGCAAUCAUCUUACGUAACAUGGCAGAAUGUACCACAUGAGAGAAAUGGAAGAUGGCAAAAGAUCUUAAGCAGCAUUACAAGAUGAUGUAGUGAACUAUUGACUAACAAAGCUUUGGUCAUAGGCAAACUGUGGAAGAUGUAAUUAGAAAAGGAUUAAAAGACAAGAAUAAGUAUAUGCCAGUAAAAACUCAACAUUGCUUUUGCAAAGAGGUGUCAUGUCUUAGGCUUCUGUUAAAUAUUUGAGGAAACAACAAGAAAGCGGUUAAGCAUAAUAGCAUUAUUAAAUUUUUCUUUUGUUUUCAAAAAGCUUUUGAUAAAAUCUCUCACUACAAAUUUUUACAGAAAAGUUGCCAUGGUUUAAGAGGGAAGGUAAUUUUAUGGAUUUAUAACAGACUAAAGAUAGGAAACAGAGACUAGGAAUUCGUUAGCAGCUUUCAAAAUGAAAAGAGGUUUCCCAAGCUCUGCUCUGUUUAACCUGUUGUCCUGAUUUCAGCUGGGAUAGAGUUAAUUGUGUUCCUAGUAGCUGGUAUAGUGCUAUGUUUUUGAGUUCGGUAUGAGAAGAAUGUUGAUAACACUGAUGUUUUCAGUUGUUGCUAAGUAGUGUUUAGUCUAAAGUCAAGGAUUUUUCAGCUUCUCAAGCCCAGCCAACAAGAAGACUGGAGGGGCACAAGAAGUUGGGAGGGGACACAGCCAGGGCAGCUGACCCAAAGUGGCCAACG